AGUCAACUAGGGCUUCUGCUGAGCAACCCUCCGGAGCCGGUUCAUGCUCUAGCUGCGUGGAGGAGGACACCAGUGACAUUGUCAAGACAGGCUCGCAAAUG
rnacentral:lncRNA from 1 species